AACGAACGCUGGCGGCAUGCCUAACACAUGCAAGUCGAACGAGACCUUCGGGUCUAGUGGCGCACGGGUGCGUAACGCGUGGGAACCUGCCCUUAGGUUCGGAAUAACUCCCCGAAAGGGGUGCUAAUACCGGAUAAUGUCUUCGGACCAAAGAUUUAUCGCCUUUGGAUGGGCCCGCGUUGGAUUAGCUAGUUGGUAGGGUAAAAGCCUACCAAGGCGACGAUCCAUAGCUGGUCUGAGAGGAUGAUCAGCCACACUGGGACUGAGACACGGCCCAGACUCCUACGGGAGGUAGCAGUGGGGAAUAUUGGACAAUGGGCGAAAGCCUGAUCCAGCAAUGACGCGUGAGUGAUGAAGGCCUUAGGGUUGUAAAGCUCUUUUACCCGGGAUGAUAAUGACAGUACCGGGAGAAUAAGCUCCGGCUAACUCCGUG
rnacentral:rRNA from 1 species